rnacentral:rRNA from 1 species
AAAGAAACCAACAGGGAUUGCCUCAGUAACGGCGAGUGAAGCGGCAAGAGCUCAAAUUUGAAAGCUGGCUCCUUCGGGGUCCGCAUUGUAAUUUGCAGAGGAUGCUUCGGGAGCGGUCCCCAUCUAAGUGCUCUGGAACGGGCCGUCAUAGAGGGUGAGAAUCCCGUAUGGGAUGGGGUGUCCGCGCCCGUGUGAAGCUCCUUCAACGAGUCGAGUUGUUUGGGAAUGCAGCUCUAAAUGGGUGGUAAAUUUCAUCUAAAGCUAAAUAUUGACCGGAGACCGAUAGCGCACAAGUAGAGUGAUCGAAAGAUGAAAAGCACUUUGAAAAGAGAGUUAAAAAGCACGUGAAAUUGUUGAAAGGGAAGCGUUUGCGAUCAGACUCGCCUUCACGGUUCAGCCGGCAUUCGUGCCGGUGUACUUCCGUGGGGGCGGGCCAGCGUCGGUUUGGGCGGUUGGUAAAAGGCCCUUGGAAUGUAACGCCUCUCGGGGCGUCUUAUAGCCAAGGGUGCCAUGCAACCAGCCCGGACCGAGGAACGCGCUUCGGCUCGGACGCUGGCAUAAUGGUCGUAAACGAC